GAGGAACCAUAUUUUUGUUUACGAUAAACACAGCUAACUGAACAGAAUACAUUUAAAAAACAAAAGGAAAGGAAGUUUGGGAAAAGCUCAACUUCUGGUUGCUCUAUGUACACAAAGAUAUUCUCCAUGUUUUGUAAGUAAAAACUAAAAGACUAUUCUUUUGUGUUUUACACACAAGAAACAGUAUUGAACACCCAUGCUACGAUCCAGGAUGGAGAAAAGACAUCUCCACUCAAUGUUUUAUACAUUAUACACCAAGUGUAGAGAAUUUAUGGGAUUGGUGCUGAUUGAACAAACUAACCUUCAACUGCCUUAUGUCAUUAUGG